rnacentral:lncRNA from 1 species
GAAGAGCUCACUCCCCUUAGUUUUUUCCAGGGAGUGAAACCAGGGUCAAUGGGAGGAAAUAACACAAGCAAUAAUGCCACGGAGGAUAGUGUUUAUCUGUUACUCUUGUGAGCCCACCACCAUCGUGGGGCCUACCUGCAUGUGUCCCCUUCCAGACUCAUGGAUAAUCACCGUGUCACUCAGUCUUGGCCCUAACUUCUCCUGCACAGCAAAGACUCCACAUCCAGUGACUUCACGGAAUUGCAUUUCAACUUGCUUGUGCUAUCAACACAGGAACACAGAUCAGUGAGUUCUAUAUCAUAUAACACAGAGAAAGCUAUGGGAGACACCAUAGUUUCGCCUCUUACCUCCUAUGCCCAAAACUUUUAGAGAUUUGUCCAAAUUAAAAA